rnacentral:rRNA from 1 species
UACGGGGGGGGCAAGCGUUGUUCGGAAUUACUGGGCGUAAAGGGCUCGUAGGCGGCCAACUAAGUCGGAUGUGAAAUCCCCAGGCUUAACCUGGGGACUGCAUUUGAUACUGCUUGGCUUGAAUUCGGGAGAGGAUAGCGGAAUUCCCAGUGUAGAGGUGAAAUUCGUAGAUAUUGGGAAGAACACCGGUGGCGAAGGCGGCUAUCUGGACCGACAUUGACGCUGAGGCGCGAAAGCGUGGGGAGCAAACAGG